rnacentral:rRNA from 1 species
CUACGGGGCGCUGCAGUGAGGAAUAUUGCACAAUGGGGGGUACCCUGAUGCAGCAACGCCGCGUGGAGGAUGACGCAUUUCAGUGUGUAAACUCCUUUUAUAUGUCAAGAAAAUGACGGUAGCAUAUGAAUAAGCACCGGCUAACUCCGUGCCAGCAGCCGCGGUAAUACGGAGGGUGCAAGCGUUACUCGGAAUCACUGGGCGUAAAGGACGCGUAGGCGGGUUGGAAAGUCAGGUGUGAAAUCCUACAGCUUAACUGUAGAACUGCACUUGAAACUUCUAAUCUAGAGUAUGGGAGGGGGAGAUGGAAUUAGUGGUGUAGGGGUAAAAUCCGUAGAUAUCACUAGGAAUACCUAAAGCGAAGGCGAUCUCCUGGAACAUUACUGACGCUAAGGCGUGAAAGCGUGGGGAGCAAACAGGAUUAGAUACCCGUGUAGUC